UAGUUACAACCGGGUAUUUCGGGCCGAACCGGGUUCGGGCCCGAAAUGAAAAUUAGAUUGAAUUAAUUGCCAUUUUAUUUGAUAAUGAGAAAUUUGAAAUUUAAUUGGGUUUGAAUUGGUGUGUAAAUGUUAUUUUUUUGCCCUUGCAUGCCUAAGUGAAUGUUAUUUGGCCCUAGGGGCAAAAUGGUCUUUUAGACCCUUAAUUUAUGUUUAAUAAAAGAAUGAUUAUAAGGAAAAUAAAAUGAAUUUUCUGGUGUUAUUCUCUCUCUCAUCCGACCCUCUUUCUCUCUUCCAAACCCUCUUGAUUUUCCAAAAUUUGUUUGGAGAAUUGCUUGAAGUUGGUGUGGAAUCAAAGCUUUGCAAUUGUGGAAUUUUGAGCUUGCUUUUGGAUUGAGUUUAAGAUUUGUGUGACUAGGAUUACCGACACCUGAUCAGGAGCACCCAGGGAUUUGGAAUCUCCUUCUAUAGCUGGACAACAGGAAAGGGUAAGUCAGUGACUGAUCAACCAUGAGUUUCAGGAGCAGGACGAAGAAUGUACAUGUUCACGCCACUUCAGACCAAGCGGGUUAUGGGUCUAACAGUGUUGACUUUUGUAUUCGGUUUUGCCGCUUAGGUCGGCUAGUAAGAAAGAACUUGUAAUAAGUUUGUAAAUAUUUUUGGGAUCCCAACUAUUUUGAAAAGUUAAAUAUAUUACAAGUUUAUUUUCA